UACGUAGGGUGCGAGCGUUGUCCGGAAUUACUGGGCGUAAAGAGCUCGUAGGUGGUUUGUCGCGUUGUUCGUGAAAACCGGGGGCUUAACCCUCGGCGUGCGGGCGAUACGGGCAGACUUGAGUACUGCAGGGGAGACUGGAAUUCCUGGUGUAGCGGUGGAAUGCGCAGAUAUCAGGAGGAACACCGGUGGCGAAGGCGGCGACCUGGGUAGAUACUGACGCUGAGGUGCGAAAGCGUGGGGAGCAAACAGG
rnacentral:rRNA from 1 species